AAUCUCUUACUGCACCUAAUUUAUAAACUCUAUCAUAGGCAUGUAUAUAUAGGAAAAACAGUACCUACAGAGUUCCGUAUUAACUCAUUUCAGGCGUCCACUGGGGGUCUCGGAAUGCAUCCCCUGUGGAUCAGGGGGGACAGUGUAAUGUCCUUGAACUGAAGAAAAACUCAAGGGUACAGAGUGAAAAAAACUUCUCACUCACCUCCUAUUCUGGUGAGGGUGGAAGAGGGUGAUACACGUAUACCAACACUUAGACGUAUUCUGGUGAGAGUUCAGAAUGCCAGAGUUAAGAAGAAAAACCCUAAAACCUUGUAGAGAGAAAACGAGUUUCUUGUGUGGAAAUGAGGGCUAAAUUGGCAUCAGAUCGGUCUAAAGCAACGCUGACCCAGAACUCACAAGGAAACAUUAUUUUGACCUAGAAUCCUAUGUCCAAUCAAACAAAUAAGGUGCCAACAAAAUAAAAAUUGAGCACUCGCAAGAUCUAUCUCUUCGUAUACCAUUUCUGGAAAAAAAAAAAAAAUCGAGCAUGUAUUCUUCCCAAACUCAGAAGAAAUCUAGGGAAGAGGAGGCAUGAAUCCAGGACCCAAGGGGCCUCACCCAGGAGCUCAUUGAAAAGAAGCCACAGGGUGUCACGUGUGUCCCAGUCCCGGAAAGCUGUCAGUUCAAAUUAAAACGGAAAAAUGAAAGGGCUCCAGGAAGCAUAUCUUUCAAAGGAAAAUAGAUUUCAUUACACACAUUGUUCUAGUUCAGAACCCGGAAGUACUUAAUGAGAACAGGAGGACAUUUCAAGAGCUCCAUAUAAACACCCACACAACAAAAUCACAAACUGUGGCGAAAACGGACGCUGCGUGAGAUUCAGAUAGGAAGCUAACUGAGACGUGCCGCGAUUCUCAGCUCUGUAUAGAAUGUGGAAGACUGUUCUAUUUGAUCAUGACACUGGUUGAAUGACACAGGAUAACUUUCCCUUUUCUAUGGGUUCAGUCACAUUACUUGUUUGUGCGAUGAACCUACAAGGCCCCAACGCCUUAAUUAUAGUUCUUGAACAGAAUGGGAACGUAAGAACAAUGCAGAUGUGAACAGAAAUAGGGAAAGGAGAAGACAAGCAGAAAAACCUAAUGUCUGCACCUUACUACAGAGUGGCCUCCGGGAGGCCCCCAAAGGAAACGCGGUUACCCCUGGGGAGGGGGCUUUGGAGAGGGACAAAGGCAAAGAGGAAGGAGGAGAUGCUAUACCUCCGCCUCUGGCUUCAGCGGCAAAGGUGGCUUUGGUAGGACACUUGGAGAAGCCAGAGCCUCAGCUGCCACUGCCCGUCUUGAGACCCACGGCCACAGGUCCCAGAUUCCACCUGCCUCGGCUCUUACUGUUUCUGGUCCUUGUAAGUAAUUAUCCCGUUUCUGAGUCACACUCUAUCUUCUUUAUUUUCUCUGCGCAUGUGUUGUUUGGCAUUGCUUAAUGUUUGCGGCAGACGAAGUGCAUCUUGCUGUACUGUCUUGAUGGGAAACCAUGGUACUCCUUUCGGAAUUUAAAAAUUGGAAUCGUAAAACCGCAAAUUCAUUCCUCUCUCCUUGUAGGAUCUAGUCUGCAUUAUACCAGUGGUGAGUAGUUAUUAUUGUUCGGACACGUGCCAAAACAGAACCGGUCUUUCAUAUCAACAUAGCAUCCUUUUUCCGAACUCCGAGAUGUCGUUAUUCCAUGGGAGAAACUGAGGCACGAGAAAGGAAACCGUAGACGUUCAAGUCGUUCCCCUGCCCGUCCGACCCCCGCUUCCCUGCCCUCUGAGGGGCGUGUUCAACCACGACAGCGUUCAGAGAUGCCAACCCAUCGUCUCCACGUGCGGUAUUUUAAUAGCCAUCCCCAUCAGCACAUUUGUCCUUACAGGUCACCCGAAGUCCUUCCCGCUUCCCUUUUUCCUUCUCUUGGUCCUUAGUGGAGAGGAACAGCCGGCCAUCUUCUGGAUCCUCUUCCUCCUCCUCUGUGUCCUUUACGUGGCAGGACAUCCUUAUUUAGUCACCCUCCAGCCAUUUCUUUCCCUGGCUGACUCAUGUCCAUUCCUUAAAGAUCCUCGUGGGUCUUAUCGUUUCGAGCGGUUAGUCAUCCUGGUGGCAUUUCUUUGAAAUCUUCCCAAGUGCUCUCUCUAAGCCUCAAAGGUCAGAAUGGGAAGGCUGCUCCGGUAAGCGGACCCCCAAUUAUUGGCUGGGCACAGGAUCAGCCAGAAUGAAGAUUAUUUUCUAGUCUCCCCUGUAGCUCGCUGUGACUGAGACCAAGUUCUGGCCAUUGGAAUGUUAAUGGAAGCGUUGGAUGCAACUGGCAAAUAUUUUUAAAGGCUAAGGGCACACCCAUCCCCCUCCCCCACCCCCAUCGCCUGCAAAAGGAGCGCAGAGGUUGGGGUCAGCCACCUUCCAGGACUGUGGGACAUCUCGGUAAGGAGGGAGAGUCAGUGACAACUCGGAACCAGAUCAUCGCAUAUCCCCUUGAACAGCCCUGGGCUGCCUACCUUCUGGCUCAUUUUACGUGGGAGAGAAAUUCAUUUCUGUGUUUCUCAACUGCCGGUUUGUGCGUGAGGGGAGGGGUGUUUGUUUAUUUCAUGCGUCUCAACCUAAUGCUCACGGAUUCAGUAGCCCUCAGACUGCGUUUCUGUGUGUUUCAUUUUACUCGUGUAGGAUGAUAUGGACAGGAAAUAACAGACAGCUGCUGGUGCUUUCAUGCCCGCUGCGCUGAGUGGCUCAGGUAUACGAGAUGCUCACUAGAGAUCGGAUAUUUUUGAUGCGUUGUCUCAUGUAGUCCUGACAUAAACCUAUGAUGCUGCUACUAUUUUCAUUUUAAACGAGAGGGAACUGACACUCAGCGGUUAGGUGCCCACGUUCCAAGUCACACGAUUGGUCGAUGGCAGAUGCGAGAUUUGCGUCUGGACAGCCUGGCCCCGGAGCCCACCCUCUUGAUACUCUUUUUCGAAUGCUGAUUCUGUUCCUCAAGGACCUACCAAAAAGGUGUUCGUAGUAGCUACCAUUGACCGAGUCCCCGCUAUGUGCAGGUACCGUGAAUAUACAGAAAGAAAAUUCUAGAAAGGCUGGACCAAACCGGGCAUGGGAGAAGCAGAGUAAGCCCGCUGCCUGGGGCUUGAAUCGCACGCUGGCAAUUCACGUGUUCAGAGCCCCUUCCGAUGGCGCUGUUUAGUAUCAUUUUCUCCUGUUUCCACUCAUGCGUUUUGAAGUCGUAAUUGAUGGAUGAAUUCUUUUUGAAGUUCAGUAAUCCAGGACUCUUUUUGUGUGCUUUUGUCUAAAUUAUUCCCUUAAAGCUUCAUCCGGACUUUCGCCUUGUUUUAUGUUGAGAAUUUUGGUACCAUAAACAUCGUAGUCAUCAUAUGACUACAGUAAUUCUGGAAAAUAGUUACUCUGAGGUACAUCUUGUCCCACUGACUCACAUCCAAACUCAUUACGAGACAAAAAAUAUAAGGUAUAAUAAAAAUACAGGAACACCGACUAUUAACCUGGAGAUACUAGACAUGAAUCAAGCUACAAAUAAAGUCAAAUAAAACA